AAGACCUUGCACUUUUGGAGCGGCCGAUGUCUGAUUAGCUAGUUGGUGGGGUAAUGGCCUACCAAAGCUUCGAUCAGUAGCUGGUCUGAGAGGACGGCCAGCCACACUGGGACUGAGACACGGCCCAGACUCCUACGGGAGGCAGCAGUGGGGAAUUUUGGACAAUGGGCGCAAGCCUGAUCCAGCCAUGCCGCGUGAGUGAAGAAGGCCUUCGGGUUGUAAAGCUCAUUCAGCCGGGAAGAAAAGGUUGCGACUAAUAAUCGCAAUUCAUGACGGUACCGAAAGAAGAAGCACCGGCUAACUACGUGCCAGCAGCCGCGGUAAUACGUAGGGUGCGAGCGUUAAUCGGAAUUACUGGGCGUAAAGGGUGCGCAGGCGGUUUUGUAAGUCAGAUGUGAAAUCCCCGGGCUUAACCUGGGAACU
rnacentral:rRNA from 1 species